CCCUACCACCCUAAAUUGCCCGUGUACUUAGCAUGAUGAAGCCCUUCGGGGUGGAUUAGUGGCGAACGGGUGAGUAACACGUGGGCAAUCUGCCCUUCACUCUGGGACAAGCCCUGGAAACGGGGUCUAAUACCGGAUAACACUCUGUCCCGCAUGGGACGGGGUUAAAAGCUCCGGCGGUGAAGGAUGAGCCCGCGGCCUAUCAGCUUGUUGGUGGGGUAAUGGCCUACCAAGGCGACGACGGGUAGCCGGCCUGAGAGGGCGACCGGCCACACUGGGACUGAGACACGGCCCAGACUCCUACGGGAGGCAGCAGUGGGGAAUAUUGCACAAUGGGCGAAAGCCUGAUGCAGCGACGCCGCGUGAGGGAUGACGGCCUUCGGGUUGUAAACCUCUUUCAGCAGGGAAGAAGCGAAAGUGACGGUACCUGCAGAAGAAGCGCCGGCUAACUACGUGCCAGCAGCCGCGGUAAUACGUAGGGCGCAAGCGUUGUCCGGAAUUAUUGGGCGUAAAGAGCUCGUAGGCGGCUUGUCACGUCGGAUGUGAAAGCCCGGGGCUUAACCCCGGGUCUGCAUUCGAUACGGGCUAGCUAGAGUGUGGUAGGGGAGAUCGGAAUUCCUGGUGUAGCGGUGAAAUGCGCAGAUAUCAGGAGGAACACCGGUGGCGAAGGCGGAUCUCUGGGCCAUUACUGACGCUGAGGAGCGAAAGCGUGGGGAGCGAACAGGAUUAGAUACCCUGGUAGUCCACGCCGUAAACGUUGGGAACUAGGUGUUGGCGACAUUCCACGUCGUCGGUGCCGCAGCUAACGCAUUACUUCCCCGCCUGGGGAGUACGGCCGCAAGGCUAAAACUCAAAGGAAUUGACGGGGGCUCGCACAAGCAGCGGAGCAUGUGGCUUACUUCGACGCAACGCGAAGAUUCUUACCAGGCUUGACAUAUACCGUAAAGCAUCAGAGAUGGCGCCCACCCUUGGAGACGGCAUACAGGCGAUGCAU
rnacentral:rRNA from 1 species